GGCCGUAGAGUGUAUUUUGAGAGAAGAAUUUUUCUCUUCUUCUCAAUUCACUUUCUUCCAAGCUUCUUGUAAUCCUUAAAGCCAAGAAUUAAUUUUGGCAAAAUUAAUUCUUGGUCAUUGGUCUAAUGUCUUCGUGUGGACGACGUCAGUUCGAUUCCAUUCUCGAAUUGGUAGCGAAUCAUAUUCAGAGACAUUGAAAGAGCCUCCAAUCGCAGGCAAUAGAUCGUUUUAUUUUUGAGACUAUUCUUGAAAAAAGUACUUCCAAAGAAAUUUGGGAUUCUAUGAAGAAGACAUACAAAGGUUCAGUGAGUGUCAAGCGUUCUCAACUUCAAGCUCUCCGUAGAGAUUUUGUGACUCUUCAAAUGAAGCAUGGAGAGUCAGUGAAUGACUAUUUUUCAAGAACAAUGGCGAUUGCAAACAAAAUGAGGCUAUAUGGUGACCAGGUGACUAAUGUUUCCAUAGUUUAGAAUAACCUUCGAUCAAUGACACCAAAGUUUGACUAUGUCAUUUGUUUGAUUGAAGAAUCAAAUGACUUAGACGAACUCUCAGUAGAUGAGCUACAAUGUUCUUUUCAAGUCCAUGAACAAAAGGUGAAUCGGAGCAACAUCACCACCAGCAAAUAGCAAGCUUUGAAAGCUUCAACCUUUAUUGAAUCCUCAGGUUCAAGAGGAAGAGGUAGAGGAAGGAGUAGAGGAAGGCGUAGAGGAAGCGGUAAAGGAAGAGGAGGCAGAGGAAACCUAGAGGAAAAUGGAAGGAAGGAUCCAAAUUUUCCAGCUACUGAUAUUAGUUCUCAAAUUCCAGUAGAGGACGCGACAAAUCCAAUGUUUAAUGCUUUAGAUGUCAUAGCUAUGGGCACUAUCGUUCUAAAUGCUACACCAACCUUCAUAAAAAUAAAGGAAAAAGUGCAGAGCAGUCAAAUAUUGUAGAGAAAAAGGAGCAAGAAGCACUAUUGAUGGCGUUCCAUGUCAAGGAGAAUGACGUUGAACUAGACAUAUGGUACCUAGACACAAGCUGCAACAAUCAUAUGUGUGGUAGUAAGUCAUUAUUUACCCAUUUGAAUGAAGAUUUUAUACCACUGUAA